rfam:Oryza sativa Japonica Group DNA, chromosome 9, cultivar: Nipponbare, complete sequence.
AAAAAAACAAACCCUGGGUUUCCGUAUCAAACUUUGACUGUCCGUCUUAUAUGAAUUUUUUUUAUAAUUCGUAUUUUUAUUGUUGUUAGAUGAUAAAACAUGAUUAAUAUUUUAUACGUGACUUGUCUUUUUAUUUUUUUUUAUAAUUUUUUUAAAUAAGACGGACGGUCAAACGUUAGACACGGAAACCAGAGUUUGUCUUUUUU